GAGUUGCUCUUUUUUCAUGGUGUGU
rnacentral:piRNA from 1 species